CUAGUCGCUGGUAGCGGACUGGUUUUUUUUUCAUGAAGUAAGACCGGCUACCAGGACAAUACAUGCUUUACCUUACUACGGGAGAGAAAAUGUUUGAAAAAACUUUGCCACCAUAAUUGCCUUAUUCUCGCCAAUCCAAACGACGAACACGAUUUCCACCAAGUCUUCUUACGGGUACCAUUUGCACCCUCUAAGCUAUGGGUACCAUUUGUACCCCCUAACCCCAAGACAAACGAUGCCAGUUUUUUUGAAA